AAUAGAUACCCGGGUAGUCCACGCUGUAAACGAUGAGCGCUAGGUGUCGUGGGUAUUGACCCCCGCGGUGCCGAAGCUAACGCAUUAAGCGCUCCGCCUGGGAAGUACGGUCGCAAGACUAAAACUCAAAGGAAUUGACGGGGACCCGCACAAGCGGUGGAUGAUGUGGAUUAAUUCGAUGCAACGCGAAAAACCUUACCUACCCUUGACAUGGUCGGAACCCUGAAGAGAUUCGGGGGUGCUCGAAAGAGAACCGAUACACAGGUGCUGCAUGGCUGUCGUCAGCUCGUGUCGUGAGAUGUUGGGUUAGGUCCCGCAACGAGCGCAACCCUCGCCCUUAGUUGCCAUCAUUAGGUUGGGCACUCUAAGGGGACUGCCGGUGUUAAACCGGAGGAAGGUGGGGAUGACGUCAAGUCCUCAUGGCCUUUAUGACCAGGGCUACACACGUGCUACAAUGGCCGGUACAGAACGCUGCAAACCCGCGAGGGGGGAGCCAAUCGUAGAAAACCGGUCUCAGUUCAGAUUGGAGUCUGCAACUCGACUCC
rnacentral:rRNA from 1 species